AAUCUAAAUAAGUAAUAGCCGGAGACCGCAGGAGCAACUAGCUUAAUUUCCUGCCGAGGUUUAGUUAAAAAUUUAACGAAAUCUUCUACCCAAACUUGUGGUAGCAGAUUCAAAGUUAAAAUAACAAACUUCGCUUCAUCGUUAACCCCGGCUCGUUAAAGUCGGGGUUAAUUGCUUUACUG
rfam:Richelia intracellularis, RC01, WGS project CBZS01000000 data, contig: contig00368